CUUUGAGAGUGCUGUUGAUCUUUCUAUCAGCCACCUUGGCUGGUUUCUUUGUGAUCAGAAACCUCAAGACCCAGCCAGAGCUCAAUGAAGAACAGCAGGAAGAAGACUCCUCUCCAGCACAGCUUCCCCUUUCCACCAAGGUUCGAUCAGCAAUCGGAACCGGGUUUUGGACUUGUGUUGAUAUGGCAAGUGGGAGGUACUUGUGGAGGAUUGUGAUGGCUCCUGCUGCUGUAGAGAAGAUUUGCUGAGAGCUCUGUGGGAAGAGGAGGUUCUUGUUGCCUCUUCUUUCUUUGCUCUCUCUACAAGCAAAAAGAAAAAAAAUCAUUGUCUACAAAAAGAAGCAAUGUUACAAAUUGUAGAUCAACUGAAGGAAAUCUAAAAAUUAUUGAGCAUUUGAUACUUGUUCAAUUGCAAAUUGUAGAUCAACUGAAGGAGAUCUAAAAGUUAUCAAGCUUUUAAUACUUUGUCUAUAUGCAUCAAAGAAGCAAUGGUGCCGAUUGUCAAUCAACUAAAGGAAAUCGAAAACCUAUUGGGUUUCUAAUACUUGUCUAUAUGCAUAUUUUGUCACUCUGAUUAUUAACAGAUUAGAUAAUUAAUUUUUAGAUAAUGAUUAGCUUUUUUUUGCUUGUUAUCUAAAGAUUCCUCCCAUUCAGACUGCUUUUUUCAUUUUAUUAGAGACAAAGGCCACAUAUAAAAGAACAAAAACAAGAAAAGGCUUGCACUAAUUAUAAGAUACUGACUACACCAAUUAACUCAGUCAACAAUGCAUGAACUCUACAAUUCUGAAUGGACUUAGAAAGAAUAUUUCUGAUGGUCUUGUCUUUCUUUUUUUUCUCUUUGUAAUUUUGUUCUUCCAUGCACAUUGGAAAACUGCGAGGAAUGGCAUAUGGACAAAAGAGAAAUGAAGUCUUUAAGAAAAACCUUUUUAUAGCAUCCAUUAUUCAUCUUUCAAAAAAUGAUCUGAGAGGAACAGAAACUACAUGAAAUUAUUAUACCGAUACAAUGGAUUGAGCACACACUAUUGCAGUUUCAAUGUAAGAUAUUUGAAGAAUUUUGACUGUUUUUAGGAAGAAAAGCUUGGUCUGAACCUGGAAAAUGAGAGUAUCAUGAACAUGAUGGUUGUACAGGUCGGAAGCAAAGCACCGUCUCAGUGCAACAAUCUAUGUGCAAAGCUGGCAUCAUGUCCAUUGCUGUCUACUUUCCAUCGACAAGAAGCACCAGGACAGCUACACUUUCUUCCGAGUGUGGUGAACAGCAUUGUUAACUGCAAAAAUUGUUUAGUGAAAGAAAUCUUGAAGAGUCAGCAAGAAAGGCCGACUGCUUAGCAAUUUGGAAAAAGGCUAUCCAUAGCCACUCUUGAAGGAUUCCACAAUCUACAUGUCAAAACUGACUCUCAGACACUGCUAUCCUGUAUUCAAAAGCCAGACUCCACCCCUGGGCAUUCAUGAAUGUGACCUCUAACAUAUUGUCUCUAACUGACUCCUUAAAUAUAUCUUCUUGAACCUUGUUUACUUGUUCUGAGAAUUGGGAUGCCCAUCUUUUAGCUAA